rnacentral:rRNA from 1 species
GGAGCUCCCCGUGGCGAAUGGGUGAGUAACACGUAGGUGACCUACCCCGAAGUGUGGAAUAACAGCCCGAAAGGGCUGCUAAUACCGCAUGCGGCCUCCGGAGUUAGAGGUCCGGAGUCCAAAGGUCGCGCAAGCGGCCGCUUUGGGAGGGGCCUGCGGUCCAUCAGCUAGCUGGUAGGGUAACGGCCUACCAGGGCGAUGACGGAUAGGGGGCCUGAGAGGGUGAUCCCCCACACUGGCACUGAAACACGGGCCAGACACCUACGGGUGGCAGCAGUAGGGAAUAUUGCCCAAUGGACGACAGUCUGAGGCAGCAACGCCGCGUGCGCGAUGAAGGCCUUCGGGUUGUAAAGCGCUUUUCGGGGGGAUGAGAACGGACAGUACCCCCGGAAUAAGCCACGGCUAACUACGUGCCAGCAGCCGCGGUAAGUCGUAGGUGACGAGCGUUAUCCGGAUUUACUGGGCGUAAAGCGCGUGUAGGCGGUUCGGCAAGUCGGGCAUGAAAGCUCCUGGCUCAACUGGGAGAGGUUGCCCGAUACUGCCGAACUCGAGGGCAGGAGAGGAAGGUGGAAUUCCGGGUGUAGUGGUGAAAUGCGUAGAGAUCCGGAGGAACACCAGUGGCGAAAGCGGCCUUCUGGCCUGCUCCUGACGCUCAGACGCGAAAGCCAGGGUAGCGAACGGGAUUAGAAACCCCGGUAGUCCUGGCUGUAAACGAUGUCCACUAGGUGUGGGUGGUCUAAACCCCAUCCGUGCCGAAGCUAACGCGUUAAGUGGACCGCCUGGGGACUACGGCCGCAAGGCUAAAACUCAAAGGAAUUGACGGGGGGCCCGCACAAGCAGCGG